CCUACGGGUGGCAGCAGUGAGGAAUAUUGGUCAAUGGACGAGAGUCUGAACCAGCCAAGUAGCGUGAAGGAUGACUGCCCUAUGGGUUGUAAACUUCUUUUAUAUGGGAAUAAAAUGUUCCACGUGUGGGAUUUUGUAUGUACCAUAUGAAUAAGGAUCGGCUAACUCCGUGCCAGCAGCCGCGGUAAUACGGAGGAUCCGAGCGUUAUCCGGAUUUAUUGGGUUUAAGGGGAGCGUAGGUGGAUUGUUAAGUCAGUUGUGAAAGUUUGCGGCUCAACCGUAAAAUUGCAGUUGAAACUGGCAGUCUUGAGGACAGUAGAGGUGGGCGGAAUUCGUGGUGUAGCGGUGAAAUGCUUAGAUAUCACGAAGAACUCCGAUUGCGAAGGCAGUUCACUGGACUGCAACUGACACUGAGGCUCGAAAGUGUGGGUAUCAAACAGGAUUAGAUACCCUUGUAGUC
rnacentral:rRNA from 1 species